rnacentral:rRNA from 1 species
UACGUAGGGUGCAAGCGUUGCCCGGAUUUAUUGGGCGUAAAGGGCGCGUAGGCGGCUCUGCACGUUCGUUGUGAAAUCGCCCGGCUUAACUGGGCGGGGGCCUUCCAGACGGCGUGGCUUGAGCAGCGGAGGGGGACGUGGAAUUCCGGGUGGAGCGGUGAAAUGCGUAGAGAUCCGGAAGAACACCGGUGGCGAAGGCGGCCCGCUGGGAUCGAUGCUGACGCUGAGGCGCGACAGCGUGGGGAGCAAACAGG